UGAACUCUCAAAGCUCGCUUCCUUUCACGAGGUUGAGAUGCUUUGGAUCAUGGGUGCUUGCGAGCCUCUGGCUUGCUCACCUCAAAUGUAAUGUGGCGUUCCUCUCUGAAGCUGCCGCUAGGUUUGACCUGGAGUGAUAGAAGUCUUUCGAGAUCUCUAGGGAAUCGUCCCUGACGAUGCCUGCUGUGGCGGGAGGGAGUGUCUGUUAGACUCAAUUGACGU
rnacentral:misc_RNA from 1 species